GACGAACGCUGGCGGCGUGCCUAAUACAUGCAAGUCGAACGCAGUGGGGACGGGUGAGUAACACGUGGGUAACCUCCCAUCAGAGGGGAUAACACUUGGAAACAGGUGCUAAACCGAUACUGAUGGAUGGACACGCGGGGCAUUAGCUAGUUGGUGAGGUAACGGCUCACAAAGGCCACGAGGCCACGCCGACCUGAGAGGGUGUGCGGCCACAUUGGGACUGAUACACGGCCCAUACUCCUACGGGAGGCAUCCGUAGGAAAUCGUCGGCAAUGGACGAAAGGCUGACCGAGCAACGCCGCGUGAGUGAAGAAGUUUUUCGGAUCGUAAAACUCUGUUGUUAGAGAAGCGGUAUCUAACCAGAAAGCCACGGCUAACUACGUGCCAGCCGCCGCGGUAAUUC
rnacentral:rRNA from 1 species